rnacentral:rRNA from 1 species
UACAGAGGGUGCGAGCGUUGUCCGGAAUCACUGGGCGUAAAGGGCGCGUAGGCGGCUUGAUAAGCGUGCGGUGAAAGCCCGGGGCUCAACCCCGGGUCGGCCGUGCGAACUGUCGAGCUGGAGCACUGUAGAGGCAGGUGGAAUUCCGGGUGUAGCGGUGGAAUGCGUAGAGAUCCGGAAGAACACCGGUGGCGAAGGCGGCCUGCUGGGCAGUGGCUGACGCUGAGGCGCGACAGCGUGGGGAGCAAACAGG